AGUUAUAGGCAAAAUUUUGUGCGAAAAUGAGAAAAUUUUACAUUUUCUCAACAGGGUAAGGAACUUGGUUCCUCGAAUAACUUCCGGCACGGACACCUGAGAGCAUGGCCGUCCAAGAAGAAAAUGUAGCCAUUGGUGCCAUCUAUCGACCACAGGUUAAAGAUUGGCGAUUCGUUGGAUACCGACCGAGUUAUAGGCAAAACUUUGUGCGAAAAUGAGAAAAUUUUACAUUUUCUCAACAGGGUAAGGAACUUGGUUCCUCGAAUAACUUCCGGCACGGACACCUGAGAGCACGGCCGUCCAAGAAGAAAAUGUAGCCAUUGGUGCCAUCUAUCGACCACAGGUUAAAGAUUGGCGAUCCGUUGGAUACCGACCGAGUUAUAGGCAAAAUUUUGUGCGAAAAUGAGAAAAUUUUACAUUUUCUCAACAGGGUAAGGAACUUGGUUCCUCGAAUAACUUCCGGCACGGACACCUGAGAGCAUGGCCGUCCAAGAAGAAAAUAUAGCCAUUGGUGCCAUCUAUCGACCACAGGUUAAAGAUUGGCGAUUCGUUGGAUACCGACCGAGUUAUAGGCAAAACUUUGUGCGAAAAUGAGAAAAUUUUACAUUUUCUCAACAGGGUAAGGAACUUGGUUCCUCGAAUAACUUCCGGCACGGACACCUGAGAGCAUGGCCGUCCAAGAAGAAAAUGUAGCCAUUGGUGCCAUCUAUCGACCACAGGUUAAAGAUUGGCGAUCCGUUGGAUACCGACCGAGUUAUAGGCAAAA